GCCCAAACCCUAAAGCUAGGGUUAUGUUUCAAUGUAUUUAUAUAAAUACGGAGUUACGCGCCUCAAUUUUGGGCGCUGUUAAAUCUGAAGUCUCAAAAGUAGCCAAAGAAGAAGAAGAAGAAGUGAAGAUCAAUCAUGAGGGCUAAGUGGAAGAAGAAGCGCAUGAGGAGAUUGAAGAGGAAGCGCCGAAAGAUGAGGCAGAGAUCCAAGUAGAUCACAUUUCUUUCUUUCUUUCUCUUUCUUAAAACAAUCAUCUAAACUAUUUCAAUUUCAAUUUCUUGUUAGACCAGUUCAUUAAUCAACAAGAGUUUCACCUUUA